AUGCUGGAGGUAUCAGAAGUGCGAAUGCUGACAUAAGUAACGAUAAAGCGGGUGAAAAGCCCGCUCGCCGGAAGACCAAGGGUUCCUGUCCAACGUUAAUCGGGGCAGGGUGAGUCGACCCCUAAGGCGAGGCCGAAAGGCGUAGUCGAUGGGAAACAGGUUAAUAUUCCUGUACUUGGUGUUACUGCGAAGGGGGGACGGAGAAGGCUAUGUUGGCCGGGCGACGGUUGUCCCGGUUUAAGCGUGUAGGCUGGUUUUCCAGGCAAAUCCGGAAAAUCAAGGCUGAGGCGUGAUGACGAGGCACUACGGUGCUGAAGCAACAAAUGCCCUGCUUCCAGGAAAAGCCUCUAAGCAUCAGGUAACAUCAAAUCGUACCCCAAACCGACACAGGUGGUCAGGUAGAGAAUACCAAGGCGCUUGAGAGAACUCGGGUGAAGGAACUAGGCAAAAUGGUGCCGUAACUUCGGGAGAAGGCACGCUGAUAUGUAGGUGAAGUCCCUCGCGGAUGGAGCUGAAAUCAGUCGAAGAUACCAGCUGGCUGCAACUGUUUAUUAAAAACACAGCACUGUGCAAACACGAAAGUGGACGUAUACGGUGUGACGCCUGCCCGGUGCCGGAAGGUUAAUUGAUGGGGUCAGCGCAAGCGAAGCUCUUGAUCGAAGCCCCGGUAAACGGCGGCCGUAACUAUAACGGUCCUAAGGUAGCGAAAUUCCUUGUCGGGUAAGUUCCGACCUGCACGAAUGGCGUAAUGAUGGCCAGGCUGUCUCCACCCGAGACUCAGUGAAAUUGAACUCGCUGUGAAGAUGCAGUGUACCCGCGGCAAGACGGAAAGACCCCGUGAACCUUUACUAUAGCUUGACACUGAACAUUGAGCCUUGAUGUGUAGGAUAGGUGGGAGGCUUUGAAGUGUGGACGCCAGUCUGCAUGGAGCCGACCUUGAAAUACCACCCUUUAAUGUUUGAUGUUCUAACGUGGACCCGUAAUCCGGGUUGCGGACAGUGUCUGGUGGGUAGUUUGACUGGGGCGGUCUCCUCCUAAAGAGUAACGGAGGAGCACGAAGGUUGGCUAAUCCUGGUCGGACAUCAGGAGGUUAGUGCAAUGGCAUAAGCCAGCUUGACUGCGAGCGUGACGGCGCGAGCAGGUGCGAAAGCAGGUCAUAGUGAUCCGGUGGUUCUGAAUGGAAGGGCCAUCGCUCAACGGAUAAAAGGUACUCCGGGGAUAACAGGCUGAUACCGCCCAAGAGUUCAUAUCGACGGCGGUGUUUGGCACCUCGAUGUCGGCUCAUCACAUCCUGGGGCUGAAGUAGGUCCCAAGGGUAUGGCUGUUCGCCAUUUAAAGUGGUACGCGAGCUGGGUUUAGAACGUCGUGAGACAGUUCGGUCCCUAUCUGCCGUGGGCGCUGGAGAAUUGAGGGGGGCUGCUCCUAGUACGAGAGGACCGGAGUGGACGCAUCACUGGUGUUCGGGUUGUCAUGCCAAUGGCACUGCCCGGUAGCUAAAUGCGGAAGAGAUAAGUGCUGAAAGCAUCUAAGCACGAAACUUGCCCCGAGAUGAGUUCUCCCUGACUCCUUGA
rnacentral:rRNA from 1 species